rnacentral:rRNA from 1 species
CUUAACACAUGCAAGUCGAGGGGCAGCAUGGUCUUAGCUUGCUAAGGCCGAUGGCGACCGGCGCACGGGUGAGUAACACGUAUCCAACCUGCCGUCUACUCUUGGACAGCCUUCUGAAAGGAAGAUUAAUACAAGAUGGCAUCAUGAGUCCGCAUGUUCACAUGAUUAAAGGUAUUCCGGUAGAUGAUGGGGAUGCGUUCCAUUAGAUAGUAGGCGGGGUAACGGCCCACCUAGUCUUCGAUGGAUAGGGGUUCUGAGAGGAAGGUCCCCCACAUUGGAACUGAGACACGGUCCAAACCCCUACGGGAGGCAGCAGUGAGGAAUAUUGGUCAAUGGGCGAGAGCCUGAACCAGCCAAGUAGCGUGAAGGAUGACUGCCCUAUGGGUUGUAAACUUCUUUUAUAAAGGAAUAAAGUCGGGUAUGGAUACCCGUUUGCAUGUACUUUAUGAAUAAGGAUCGGCUAACUCCGUGCCAGCAGCCGCGGUAAUACGGAGGAUCCGAGCGUUAUCCGGAUUUAUUGGGUUUAAAGGGAGCGUAGAUGGAUGUUUAAGUCAGUUGUGAAAGUUUGCGGCUCAACCGUAAAAUUGCAGUUGAUACUGGAUAUCUUGAGUGCAGUUGAGGCAGGCGGAAUUCGUGGUGUAGCGGUGAAAUGCUUAGAUAUCACGAAGAACUCCGAUUGCGAAGGCAGCCUGCUAAGCUGCAACUGACAUUGAGGCUCGAAAGUGUGGGUAUCAAACAGGAUUAGAUACCCUGGUAGUCCACACGGUAAACGAUGAAUACUCGCUGUUUGCGAUAUACUGCAAGCGGCCAAGCGAAAGCGUUAAGUAUUCCACCUGGGGAGUACGCCGGCAACGGUGAAACUCAAAGGAAUUGACGGGGGCCCGCACAAGCGGAGGAACAUGUGGUUUAAUUCGAUGAUACGCGAGGAACCUUACCCGGGCUUAAAUUGCAGAUGAAUUACGGUGAAAGCCGUAAGCCGCAAGGCAUCUGUGAAGGUGCUGCAUGGUUGUCGUCAGCUCGUGCCGUGAGGUGUCGGCUUAAGUGCCAUAACGAGCGCAACCCUUGUUGUCAGUUACUAACAGGUUCCGCUGAGGACUCUGACAAGACUGCCAUCGUAAGAUGUGAGGAAGGUGGGGAUGACGUCAAAUCAGCACGGCCCUUACGUCCGGGGCUACACACGUGUUACAAUGGGGGGUACAGAGGGCCGCUACCACGCGAGUGGAUGCCAAUCCCCAAAACCUCUCUCAGUUCGGACUGGAGUCUGCAACCCGACUCCACGAAGCUGGAUUCGCUAGUAAUCGCGCAUCAGCCACGGCGCGGUGAAUACGUUCCCGGGCCUUGUACACACCGCCCGUCAAGCCAUGGGAGCCGGGGGUACCUGAAGUGCGUAACCGCGAGGAGCGCCCUAGGGUAAAACUGGUGACUGGGGCUAAA